rnacentral:rRNA from 1 species
GACGAACGCUGGCGGCGUGCUUAACACAUGCAAGUCGGGCGAUGAAGCACCUUCGGGUGUGAAUUAGCGGCGAACGGGUGAGGAACACGUGAGAAAUCUGCCUUCAACUCUGGGAUAACUCCGUGAAAACGGGGCUAAUACCGGAUAUGAGAUCUACAGGCAUCUGUGGAUCUGGAAAGUUUUUCGGUUGAAGAUGAUCUCGCGGCCUAUCAGCUUGUUGGUGAGGUAAUGGCUCACCAAGGCGACGACGGGUAGCCGGCCUGAGAGGGCGACCGGCCACACUGGGACUGAGACACGGCCCAGACUCCUACGGGAGGCAGCAGUGGGGAAUAUUGGGCAAUGGAGGAAACUCUGACCCAGCGACGCCGCGUGCGGGAUGAAGGCCUUCGGGUUGUAAACCGCUUUCAGCAGGGAAGAAGCGAAAGUGACGGUACCUGCAGAAGAAGCACCGGCUAACUAUGUGCC